GCGAGAGUGGCGGAAUUGGCAGACGCGCAGGGUUUAGGUCCCUGUGGGGUUAAUACCCCGUAAGGGUUCAAGUCCCUUCUCUCGCA
rnacentral:tRNA from 1 species